rnacentral:rRNA from 1 species
UACGGGGGGGGCAAGCGUUGUUCGGAAUUACUGGGCGUAAAGGGCUCGUAGGUGGCCAACUAAGUCAGACGUGAAAUCCCUCGGCUUAACCGGGGAACUGCGUCUGAUACUGGAUGGCUUGAGUUUGGGAGAGGGACGCGGAAUUCCAGGUGUAGCGGUGAAAUGCGUAGAUAUCUGGAGGAACACCCGUAGCGAAGGCGGCACUCUGGGCCGAUUCUGACACUGAGGAGCGAAAGCGUGGGGAGCGAACAGG